UUCAUUCAUUCAACUGAUGAUUUACUGAACAUGCCACGUACCAGGCACUGUCCUAGGCACUGGGCGUACAGCAGUGAGCAAAACACAGUACCUCAUUUCCUGGAGUUCACAUGCCCAUGGAGCAAGAAUAAGUUAAACUAUAUAUCAGGUGGUAUAAUUGCUAAACAAAGCAGGGAAGGGGUCAAUGAGUGACAGUGGCAAAGGAUGGGGGUAUUUUAGACAGAGUGGAGAGUGAAGGCCUCUCUGAGAACCUGAUAUUUGAGCGGAGAGCUGAAGAAGCAAGGAGCCAGCCAUGGGGUUAUCUGGGGAGAAAGUGCUCCAGGAAGAGGGAGCAACCAGUGCAAAGACCCUGAGGCAGGGGGCAUGGGGAGGAGCAGAGGCAAGUGGUGAGUUGCCAAAGCAUGCGGUGGGGUGUGGGAACUAAAGAAAGAUGAGCCAGCCUGGGCAACACAGCCAGACCCCAUCUCUACCCAAAAUGUUGUUCCAAGUUAGCCAGGCAGGGCCAGGUGCAGUGGCUCACGCCCAAGCUCCCAUCCUGCACGCACAAGCCUGCCCAAUCCUGGUCUCUGAACAGGAGGGCACCCGCACCACCCCCAAACAUGCCGAUCCAUGAUACAUGUAAUCCCAGUACUUUGGGAGGCCAAGGCGGGUGGAUCACCUGAGGUCAGGGGUUUGAGACCAGCCCGGCCAACAUGGCAAAACCCCAUCUCUACUAAAAAUACAAAAAUUAGCUGGGCGUGGUGGCAGGCACCUGUAAUCCCAGCUACUCAGGAGGCUGAGGCAGGAGAAUUGCUUGAACCGUGGAGGCGGAAGUUGCAGUUGAACUGAGAUUAUGCCACUGCACUCCAGCCUGGGUGACAGAGUGAGACUCUGUCUCAAAAAAAAAAAAAAAAAAAAGUUAGCCAGACAGUCCCAGCUACUCAGGAGGCUGAGGCUAGAGGAUCACUUGAGUCCAAGAGUUCAUGAGCCUGCAGUGAGCUAUGAUUGCACCACUGCACUGUAGCCUGGGUGACAGACCCUGACCCUGUCUGGAAAGAAAGAAAGAGAGAGAGAGAAAGAGAGAGAGAGAGAGAAAGGAAGGAAGGAAAGAAAGAAAGAGAAAGAGAGAAAGAAGAGGGAGGGAGGGAGAGAGAAAAAAGGGUCUGGGGCCCUCAUCAUUGUUUGGGUCUCCAUCUCUUUCCUGCAGGGAGAGGGACCCAAUCCUGUAGCUGGAAGCUGGGAGCCUCCGAAGGCCCAUCCAUACUUCCCUGACUUGGUACAGCCACUGCUACCCAUUUCUGGAGAUGUUUCCCCAGUAUCCACUGGGCUCCCCGCAGCCCCAGUUUUGGAGGCAGGGGUGCCGCAACAGCAGAGUCCUCUGGACCUGACCAGGGAGCCGCAGUUGGAACCCGGGGAGCAGAGCCAGGUGGCCCACGGUACCAAUGGCAUUCAUGUCACCGGCGGGUCUAUGACUAUCACUGGCAACAUCUACAUCUACAAUGGACCAGUACUGGGGGGACCACCGGGUCCUGGAGACCUCCCAGCUACCCCCGAACCUCCAUACCCCAUUCCCGAAGAGGGGGACCCUGGCCCUCCCGGGCUCUCUACACCCCACCAGGAAGAUGGCAAGGCUUGGCACCUAGCGGAGACAGAGCACUGUGGUGCCACACCCUCUAACAGGGGCCCAAGGAACCAAUUUAUCACCCAUGACUGACUGAGUCUGAGAAAAGGCAGAAGAAGGGGGGCACAAGGGCACCUUCUCCCUUGAGGCUGCCCUGCCCACGUGGGAUUCACAGGGGCCUGAGUAGGGCCCGGGGAAGCAGAGCCCUAAGGGAUUAAGGCUCAGACACCUCUGAGAGCAGGUGGGCACUGGCUGGGUACGGUGCCCUCCACAGGACUCUCCCUACUGCCUGAGCAAACCUGAGGCCUCCCGGCAGACCCACCCACCCCCUGGGGCUGCUCAGCCUCAGGCACGGACAGGGCACAUGAUACCAACUGCUGCCCACUACGGCACGCCGCACCGGAGCACGGCACCGAGGGAGCCGCCACACGGUCACCUGCAAGGACGUCACGGGCCCCUCUAAAGGAUUCGUGGUGCUCAUCCCCAAGCUUCAGAGACCCUUUGGGGUUCCACACUUCACGUGGACUGAGGUAGACCCUGCAUGAAGAUGAAAUUAUAGGGAGGACGCUCCUUCCCUCCCCUCCUAGAGGAGAGGAAAGGGAGUCAUUAACAACUAGGGGGUUGGGUAGGAUUCCUAGGUAUGGGGAAGAGUUUUGGAAGGGGAGGAAAAUGGCAAGUGUAUUUAUAUUGUAACCACAUGCAAAUAAAAAGAAUGGGACCUAGAUAA
rnacentral:lncRNA from 1 species